UACGUAGGGUGCGAGCGUUGUUCGGAAUUACUGGGCGUAAAGAGCUCGUAGGUGGUUUGUCGCGUUGUUCGUGAAAACUCACAGCUCAACUGUGGGCGUGCGGGCGAUACGGGCAGACUGGAGUACUGCAGGGGAGACUGGAAUUCCUGGUGUAGCGGUGGAAUGCGCAGAUAUCAGGAGGAACACCGGUGGCGAAGGCGGGUCUCUGGGCAGUAACUGACGCUGGAGGAGCGAAAGCGUGGGGAGCGAACAGG
rnacentral:rRNA from 1 species